rnacentral:sRNA from 1 species
GAAGGGCAGGGCCAGGCCACUGUGGCCAUUCUCCCCCAGUUCUAAGAGGCCUUCCCAGGCGUGUCAAGUGGAGCUGCUGUGGUUACAGUGGCCUUGGGAGCUCAGAGAGGUUGAGACAUAGGUUGGGCUCACACAGCCAGGUAACAGCAAAGUGGGGUUGGAGUCAGGGCCUAGGGUGGCAGCUGCCAAGCUCUGCAACAAAGCUGUUUUCUGCGGGAGUCUGAGGACCACACACCACUUCCCACUCCAGGCUGAGCUGGAGAUCCAGAAAGACGCCCUGGAGCCAGGACAGAGGGUGGUCGUGGUGGAUGAUCUGCUGGCCACUGGUGGAACCAUGAACGCCGCCUGUGAGCUGCUGGGGCACCUGCAGGCUGAGGUCCUGGAGUGCAUGAGCCUGGUGGAGCUGACCUCGCUUAAGGGCAGGGAGAAGCUGGCACCUGUACCCUUCUUCUCUCUCCUGCAGUAUGAGUGACUGCAGGGCCUCCCAGC